rnacentral:rRNA from 1 species
UACGUAGGGCGCAAGCGUUGUCCGGAAUUAUUGGGCGUAAAGAGCUCGUAGGCGGUUUGUCGCGUCUGCUGUGAAAACCUAAGGCUCAACCUUGGGCUUGCAGUGGGUACGGGCAGACUAGAGUGCGGUAGGGGUGACUGGAAUUCCUGGUGUAGCGGUGGAAUGCGCAGAUAUCAGGAGGAACACCGAUGGCGAAAGGCAGG